CCUACGGGUGGCUGCAGUGAGGAAUAUUGGUCAAUGGUCGGGAGCCUGAACCAGCCAAGCCGCGUGAGGGAUGAAGUUACAGAGUAUCGUAAACCUCUUUUGUCAGGGAACAAAGGCGGGGACGUGUCCCCGUAUGACUGUACCUACAGAAAAAGCAUCGGCUAACUCCGUGCCAGCAGCCGCGGUAAUACGGAGGAUGCGAGCGUUAUCCGGAUUUAUUGGGUUUAACGGGUGCGCAGGCGGUCUGUUAAGUCAGCGGUCAAAGCCCGGGGCUCAACCCCGGGCCCGCUGUGGAAACUGGAAGUCUCGAGUGGGAGAGAAGUAGGCGGAAUGCGUGGUGUAGCGGUGAAAUGCAUAGAUA
rnacentral:rRNA from 1 species